rnacentral:rRNA from 1 species
GACGAACGCUGGCGGCGUGCUUAACACAUGCAAGUCGAGCGGUAAGGCUCCUUCGGGAGUACACGAGCGGCGAACGGGUGAGUAACACGUGAGCAAUCUGCCCUUCUCAUCGGAAUAACCAUUGGAAACGAUGGCUAAUGCCGAAUACGACUUCCUUUCGCAUGUCAGGAAGUGGAAUGCUCCGGCGGAGAAGGAUGAGCUCGCGGCCUAUCAGCUUGUUGGUGAGGUACUGGCUCACCAAGGCGACGACGGGUAGCCGGCCUGAGAGGGUGACCGGCCACACUGGGACUGAGACACGGCCCAGACUCCUACGGGAGGCAGCAGUGGGGAAUAUUGGACAAUGGGCGAAAGCCUGAUCCAGCAACGCCGCGUGAGGGAUGACGGCCUUCGGGUUGUAAACCUCUUUCAGCAGGGACGAAGCGAAAGUGACGGUACCUGCAGAAGAAGGACCGGCCAACUACGUGCCAGCAGCCGCGGUAA